GACGACCGGCCGCACACCUAUGUGUACGGCCCACAAGUGGAGGCUCCGAACUCCCACCUGACCGUCCUCCGGGACGGCGGGUCACCGGUCAGGCGGCCACCACCGUUCCGUACGGACGGUGGAGUCGCCCGAAAUCGCGCCCCGCGGUUGACGCGGCGGUGUUCCGGCAGUGGAGCCCCGCCUGUGUCCCGUCCGGGGCAUUUUUC
rnacentral:ncRNA from 1 species